rnacentral:tRNA from 2 species
AUUAUUUUGGCAGAUUAGUGCUUUAGAUUUAGAAUCUUAGAAUGUAUUUUUUACAUAUAAUA